ensembl:lncRNA LINC02610 long intergenic non-protein coding RNA 2610
ACGCCCCUUGGCGGCGAGCUCUGAGCCCUUUGCCGCAUUUGACACUCGACAUCCUCGUGCUUCUUAAAGCACUUGCCCAACGGUGAGCAACGGCCUCCAACGGUGCCCGAGGGACUCGCGCUGCCCGUUAAGCAGCUUUGCGGUGGCGGAGGCUGGGCUGCCGUCUCUCCGACAUCCCGGGACGGAGGAAGAGAUGAAGGCUCUGCAGCCCCCGCCGCCCGAUUUACGCUUGAGAAAGCGAAGGCGAGAGAGGUCGUCCAGCCCCUGGGGGCCCAGCCCUAGAGAGCGGGGCGCGGGCUGCGGGGCCCGGCGGCCUGGACGGCGGAGCGUUGAAAGCUCCCCCAGGGAUAGGAAGUGCAGCCGAAAUCAACGAUUGAGGGUCUGAGCACCUCCCUCAUGCAGACAGAGCCCCGGCUCCCAUGUUCACCAUGCUGAGAAAGACCUGCGGGGGACAGCAGGAGGACAGCCGGGGAAUGGGCCCGCACUUGCCCAGAGUCCCUGAUGGUGUCGUCUUGGGAGUGGAGGAACCUGAGGGAAAAGCCCAGGGACGAGUCAGGGGAGAGCUCUGCCCUGGUGCUCUUGCACGUAUCCACAUGGGCCACAGCUGCACCCGGCUCUCAGCAGAGGGCAUCGCCAUGCUCCUGGGCACAGCCGGGCCCUCUCGCCUCCCUGCGGCUCCUGAUGCCUCCCAGGCUCCGCUGAGGUCACCUUGGGCACUUAGCGUGGCUGCAGCUCUUUGCAGCCCCGUGUCCUGUCAUCCAUGUGGCCGUCAUGUGGUCACUUUUGGGCAUUGCCCUGCGCAAGGUCCAUGGGGACUGGGCACCUUUGGCCAUUCUUUCUUUGGUUGUCUGUGCAAGUAAUAAACUAAAUCUGAAAAGGUC